rnacentral:rRNA from 1 species
CAGCACCUCAAGUGGUCAGGAUGAUUAUUGGGCCUAAAGCAUCCGUAGCCGGCGCUGUAAGUUUUCGGUUAAAUCUGUACGCUCAACGUACAGGCUGCCGGGAAUACUGCAGCGCUAGGGAGUGGGAGAGGUAGACGGUACUCGGUAGGAAGGGGUAAAAUCCUUUGAUCUAUUGAUGACCACCUGUGGCGAAGGCAGUCUACCAGAACACGUCCGACGGUGAGGGAUGAAAGCUGGGGGAGCAAUCCGGAUUAGAGACCCGAGUAGUCC